GUGAAUUUUAAACGGCCGCGGUACUCUGACCGUGCAAAGGUAGCAUAAUCAUUUGCCUUAUAAUUGAAGGCUGGAAUGAAUGGUUUGACAAGAAUGCACCUGUCUCUUUUAGAUUGUUUAGAAUUUUAUUUUUGGAUGAAAAAGUCCAGAUAUUAUUAAAAGACAAGAAGACCCUAUCGAGCUUCAGAAAAAUUAAUGGACUUAAUAUGAAUCAAUAUAAAUAAAAGAAAAACUAUUAAAUACUUUGGUUGGGGCAACCGAGGAGCAAAUAGAGCCUCCUUUAAAUUAUAAAUCUUGCUUGUGUUGAUCCAAAAAUUUUGAUCGAAGGAAAUAGUUACCGUAGGGAUAACAGCAUUAUCUUUUUCAAGAGCCCAUAUCGAAAAAAAGGUUUGUGACCUC
rnacentral:rRNA from 1 species